GAUAAACGCUGGCGGCGUGCUUAACACAUGCAAGUCGAACGGAGUAUUUCUCCCGAGACCGAGGAAGCUUGCUUCCGAAGAAUCAUUUGAAAUACUUAGUGGCGGACGGGUGAGUAACGCGUGGGUAACCUGCCUCACACUGGGGGAUAGCAGUUGGAAACGACUGAUAAUACCGCAUAAGCGCACAAUACCGCAUGGUAUGGUGUGAAAAACUCCGGUGGUGUGAGAUGGACCCGCGUCUGAUUAGCCAGUUGGCGGGGUAACGGCCCACCAAAGCGACGAUCAGUAGCCGGCCUGAGAGGGUGUACGGCCACAUUGGGACUGAGACACGGCCCAAACUCC
rnacentral:rRNA from 1 species